rnacentral:rRNA from 2 species
AAAGAUUUAUCGGCUUAAGAUGAGCCCGCGUUGGAUUAGCUAGUUGGUGGGGUAAAGGCCUACCAAGGCGACGAUCCAUAGCUGGUCUGAGAGGAUGAUCAGCCACACUGGGACUGAGACACGGCCCAGACUCCUACGGGAGGCAGCAGUGGGGAAUAUUGGACAAUGGGCGGAAGCCUGAUCCAGCCAUGCCGCGUGAGUGAAGAAGGCCUUAGGGUUGUAAAGCUCUUUCACCGGUGAAGAUAAUGACGGUAACCGGAGAAGAAGCCCCGGCUAACUUCGUGCCAGCAGCCGCGGUAAUACGAAGGGGGCUAGCGUUGUUCGGAUUUACUGGGCGUAAAGCGCGCGUAGGCGGAUAGAUAAGUCAGAGGUGAAAUCCCGGGGCUCAACCCCGGAAUUGCCUUUGAUACUGUUUAUCUUGAGUGCAGAAGAGGUAAGUGGAAUUCCGAGUGUAGAGGUGAAAUUCGUAGAUAUUCGGAGGAACACCAGUGGCGAANGC